UACAGAGGUCUCAAGCGUUGUUCGGAUUCAUUGGGCGUAAAGGGUGCGUAGGUGGCGCUGUAAGUCAGGUGUGAAAUUUCGGAGCUCAACUCCGAAACUGCAUUUGAUACUGCGGUGCUUGAGGACUGGAGAGGAGAUUGGAAUUCACGGUGUAGCAGUGAAAUGCGUAGAUAUCGUGAGGAAGACCAGUGGCGAAGGCGGAUCUCUGGACAGUUCCUGACACUGAGGCACGAAGGCCAGGGGAGCAAACAGG
rnacentral:rRNA from 1 species